UACCUUAGACAAUAUAAGUGAACCAAUGACCAAUGUGGAUAAGUCUUCCUUGGACUUUUACAAGUAUGUGGGACAUGACUAUUAAGUUUUUCCAAAGUAUGUGGGACUUGGAAUUUUAUAAGUGAACCAAUGUUGAAAUUGCUAUUAAGGAAAACUUAUGAACCAAUAUUUAUAAGGAAAACUUCAUUAGACUUUUAUAAGUGAACCAAUGUUGAAAUUGCUAUUAAGGAAAACUUAUGAACCAAUAUUUAUAAGGAAAACUUCAUUAGACUUUUAUAAGUGAACCAAUAGGGAACUAAUGUGGG
rnacentral:lncRNA from 1 species